rnacentral:rRNA from 1 species
UACGUAGGGGGCUAGCGUUGUCCGGAAUUAUUGGGCGUAAAGAGCGAGCAGGCGGCUUAUCAAGUCAGAUGUGAAAUCUCCCGGCUUAACUGGGAGGGGUCAUUUGAAACUGGUAAGCUAGAGUGCAGCAGAGGAUAGCGGAAUUCCCGGUGUAGUGGUGAAAUGCGUAGAUAUCGGGAGGAACACCAGUGGCGAAGGCGGCUAUCUGGGCUGUAACUGACGCUGAGGCGCGAAGGCUAGGGGAGCGAACAGG